rnacentral:tRNA from 2 species
GGGGAGAUUCCCGAGUGGCCAAAGGGGUCAGACUGUAAAUCUGAUGGCUCAGCCUUCACAGGUUCGAAUCCUGUUCUCCCCACCA